GUGGUUCUCUUGAGGCAUCCAGCAAGCUAAUCUAUAGGAAUUUAGAAGAAAGGGAGCAGGAUAAGAUGAGCGCCUACCGGCCCUUUGGUGCACUGUAGGAUUUGGGAGCUGCUGCGCUUUCGGAGACCUCAGCCCCAGGGUGAUCCAGGUCACGCUGUUGGCUCACAACACACGGUGCCUGGAAAGAGCUGGGACCUCUUCAGCAGUACUGCACCUGAGAAGCGUUAGCCUACGGGCCAGAAAAAUCUUCAGACCCAAGCGCACAGAGGAAAACGAGCACCUUUCAUGGAGUUCUGUAUCUCCCAACCGUGGGUCAAAGAGGGAGCAGUGAGAGGAGCAGCCCACGCUGAUGAUCGUCCUCGGAGUGACCCAGCCCAUGGUGAGAACCCGCUGUGGGAAACCCUGACUCCUGAGCUGGUGCUUUGCACAAGCAAAGCCGGUGGCAGAGGGUGCAUUCCAGGUAUGCCCUGAUAUGUUUAAAGUGAAAUACUUAAACAAAUGCCUAAGCUCUGGUCUACUAAAGUCAGUGGAUUAUUUAGAGGUUAAGAGAACAGAAGCAGGCAUUUUGAGUUGCUCUCUAAUCCACUGCUUUGUCCCAAGGUAAGUUAAUUAUACCUGUAUCAUUCUUGAGAGAGAUCAGUUGUAUAAACCGUGUUUACAGAACUUGAAGCUAACAUUUGAUUCCCUCUGACCAACAGAGAAGAAUGCAUGUUCCCAGUCCCGUGACAGGAGGAGCACUACACAGGUCAAAAGCUAGCCCAGAUGAUUUUGCCAAAACCAAAAGAAAUUGGAUAGAAAAUCUGGAAAUAAAUCAAGAUUGGAAACAGUAAAAGAGAUGUGAACGGUACACAGUGUCCUUUAAGAUAUCCUUGAAUCGACUAAAAGCUGGGACAUUUUCCUCUGCAAUUCAGGUAUUCACACGUGUCAUGGUCUUUGAUUUAAACAAGAGUCUGAAAGCUAAGCACAGGAUUUGUGUUCAGUACUGUU